GUAAAAAGUAAUAAAUUUAGGAAUUUAAUAUUUUUAUUUGGUUAACUGAUUAUGUUAUGGAUGCAUAGUUCUGUAUUUCUAUCUCCACUGUGGCAGCAUAAUUUAGGUGCAUAAUCUAGUUUUGAAUUUCAUAGAUCUGUGGGAGCAAUUUUUAUCUCGCCGAAACCACAAAAAUGGUUCCAUAAAGAGAGAGGAGAUAAAUUAAAUACAAAAGUAUUUUUGAUAUAUUGAUAGGAGCAGCAUUCAUCAUGGCAAUAAUCAGUUGGUUGUUGUUUUUCUUUUCUCGGGUAAAGAGAUAAUAUCAUUUGAUAGCUUAAGGACUAAAUUUGCUUUCCUAUAUGCUUUACCUGGAUUAUAUAAUCAUUUUUGUAGUAAUGCCCCUGCAGAAGCAAUUUUUUAUUUGUCAUUUUAAAAUAUAGAUCAAAAUUAGUUAUUUAAUUUUCAUUAUUCUUUACUCCAGGAAAGAGCUGUAGUUUCUUUAAAUGCAGGUCCAAAAGCCUGGAAACACUGAUUGAUGCAUGCCAAUUGGAGACAUAGGUAUGUCUGCAAGCAAUGCUGAUCAACAUAUUUAUGCCAUAUUUCUGGUCGAUAAGUAGCUGUAAGUCAGGUUUUUUGGGCUCCUCAUAGCUAUCCGACCUGUUCAAGCCAGGUUAUGAUAACGUUCUAUUAGGUUUUUAUACAGGUUUCAAUAGAAAUUUAGUUCUUGAGUUUGAUUCAAUAUCUAGUUAAAUUGUGGAAUUCCAGUUUGGGUAGAUAAAAAUUCAUAUGUGCUGCACUUGUCAUUUAGAGAAAUUUAGUUCUUGGGUUAGGGUUCGGGUUUAAGUUCGAGUAAGAUAAUUAAGUUGGACUAACCGGGUGGUGGAUGAGACUAGAAUUUUAUUAGUGCCCUAAUGAUAGAUGCGUAUCCUGUGGUGAUGGCACGGUUUGACAUCACCCGAGCACUGUCAAAGCUUUCACUCAACCAAGAUGGAGUAGGUGCCUUACUAAUGGCACUAACUAUUUAAUUAGUGCACUACUGAUACGUUGUUCUUGCUUAAGUUUCUUGAGGGUCCAUGUUUCAACUAAUCUCUCAGGCGUGCAUGUUGAGUGGCAUCCUCUGCCUGAGAGAGAGGACAGAAAAAGGAAGGAAAGCUAAAGGCUCAACGGUGGGUUGUUGAACUGCUUGGAUUUGGGGUGUUUGUUCUUUUCUCACAGUCGGAUUCUCAUCUUUGUUCUUUUCUUUACAGGUUGGUCCAUCGUCGUGAUCAAUCCUUCAGGCUUUGGAUAAGGACGAAGGUGUGCAUGCUUGUUUGGAACAUCUUCUUUUCAGGGCAGGGAAGAUUUAAUUAGCUGAUUCAUUAUUUUGGAUAUUCUGAAUGUGUGUGAGGAAUUCCAAUGAACUCUUUUGUUUGACUGGCUUAUAGUUUAUCGGUAGAAGUCCCAAUGCAUACCCUCAGUUUUGGAGUAUUUGAUGCGUAUCUUGAUAUCAUUAGAUCACACCACAAGUCUCCAUCACGCUAAAACCUCACGGGUUGCUUGUGAGAUAAUUAUUAUCACAUCGUUUUCUCAUACAAAUCCCAGGGCCUAAAAAUAAGAAGAAAAUUGCUGCUACUCUCCUUUUUCUUUCUUCUUUUAUUUCCUUUGUAUUUACAUGCAGGGAAUGCGUUUUAGCCAAGCACAUAACAAAACUACUGUGCACCAGCCAGCUUCGUCAACGACGGUCGUCGGC
rnacentral:lncRNA from 1 species